GACUCCUACGGGAGGCAGCAGUGGGGAAUAUUGCACAAUGGGGGAAACCCUGAUGCAGCCAUGCCGCGUGUGUGAAGAAGGCCUUCGGGUUGUAAAGCACUUUCAGUAGGGAGGAAGGUAGUGUAGUUAACACCUGCACUAUUUGACGUUACCUACAGAAGAAGCACCGGCUAACUCCGUGCCAGCAGCCGCGGUAAUACGGAGGGUGCGAGCGUUAAUCGGAAUUACUGGGCGUAAAGCGCAUGCAGGUGGUUUGUUAAGUCAGAUGUGAAAGCCCGGGGCUCAACCUCGGAACUGCAUUUGAAACUGGCAGACUAGAGUACUGUAGAGGGGGUAGAAUUUCAGGUGUAGCGGUGAAAUGCGUAGAGAUCUGAAGGAAUACCGGUGGCGAAGGCGGCCCCCUGGACAGAUACUGACACUCAGAUGCGAAAGCGUGGGGAGCAAACAGGAUUAGAUACCCUGUAG
rnacentral:rRNA from 1 species